rnacentral:rRNA from 1 species
AUUCCAAUCACUAGAAAUGAAAUUUCCAGUGUUGUUAUUUCUUGUCACUACCUCCCUGAAUCAGGAUUGGGUAAUUUGCGCGCCUGCUGCCUUCCUUAGAUGUGGUAGCCGUUUCUCAGGCUCCCUCUCCGGAAUCGAACCCUAAUUCCCCGUUACCCGUCACUGCCACGGUAGUCCAAUACAGUACCGUCGAAAGCUGAUAGGUCAGAAACUUGAAUGAUCCGCCGCAGACCGAAGUCAACGCGAUCCGUUCGGUUACUAUGAAUCACCUGAGGACCACCGGAAGGUGGGUUGGUUCUGUAUCUAAUAAACACUGCCCUUCCAGGGGAAGAGGCAUGUGCGCAUGUAUUAGCCAUAGAAUUACCACGGUUAUCCAUGUAGUAAAGACCAUCAAAUAAACUAUAACUGUUUUAAUGAGCCAUUCGCAGUUUAGCCGUAUAAAAGCUUAUACUUAGACAUGCAUGGCUUAAUCUUUAAGACAAGCAUAUGA